rnacentral:rRNA from 1 species
UACGGGGGGGGCAAGCGUUGUUCGGAAUUACUGGGCGUAAAGGGCUCGUAGGCGGCCAACUAAGUCAGACGUGAAAUCCCUCGGCUCAACCGAGGAACUGCGCCCAAAACUACUAUGCUCGAGGGAGAUAGAGGAAUGCGGAACUUAGGGUGGAGCGGUGAAAUGCGUUGAUAUCCUAGGGAACACCGGUGGCGAAAGCGGCAUUCUGGAUCUCUUCUGACGCUGAUGCACGAAAGCUAGGGUAGCAAACGGG